rnacentral:rRNA from 1 species
GGGUGCGAGCGUAUUCGGAUUUAUUGGGCGUAAAGAGCUCGUAGGCGGUUCGACAAGUCGGGUGUUAAACCCCCAGGCUCAACCUGGGGCCGCCACCCGAAACUGUUGUGACUAGAGUUUGGUAGGGGACCACGGAAUUCCUGGUGUAGCGGUGGAAUGCGCAGAUAUCAGGAGGAACACCAGUAGCGAAGGCGGUGAUCUGGGCCAAUACUGACGCUGAGGAGCGAAAGCGUGGGGAGCGAACAGGAUUAGAUACCCUGGUAGUCCACGCCGUAAACGGUGGGCACUAGGUGUGGGGACUUUUCAACGGUUUCCGCGCCGCAGCUAACGCAUUAAGUGCCCCGCCUGGGGAGUACGGUCGCAAGACUAAAACUCAAAGAAAUUGACGGGGGCCCGCACAAGCAGCGGAGCAUGUGGCUUAAUUCGAUGCAACGCGAAAAACCUUACCUAGAUUUGACAUGCUGGGAAAAGCCACAGAGAUGUGGUGUCCUUCGGGGCCCAGCACAGGUGGUGCAUGGCUGUCGUCAGCUCGUGUCGUGAGAUGUUGGGUUAAGUCCCGCAACGAGCGCAACCCUUGUUCUGUGUUGCCAGCACGUAAUGGUGGGGACUCGUAGAAGACCGCCGGGGUCAACUCGGAGGAAGGUGGGGACGACGUCAAGUCAUCAUGCCCCUUACGUCUAGGGCUGCACACAUGCUACAAUGGGCGGUACAGAGGGCUGCUAAACCGCGAGGUGGAGCCAAUCCCUAAAACCGCUCUCAGUUCAGAUUGCAGGCUGCAACUCGCCUGCAUGAAGUUGGAGUUGCUAGUAAUCCCGGAUCAGCA